rnacentral:lncRNA from 1 species
AAUUUUUUUUUUUUUUUUUUUUUGGUGUUGGUGUUCGAGGUUGGGAUUGGUAAACCUGGCAAUUAGGCUAUGUGAACUGGGUUUUGACACGCUCGAACUUAGCCCCCAUGAACUAUCCGUUGAUGUAUUUGAAUAGCAAUAAUUUUGAUUAAAAAUUAUUUACGUGCAUUAGAAAUGGCAAAGGGAAUCAGAAUUUGCUCCCAAAGAAAGAAUGGAGGGAGGUUGGAGCGAGGGAAACAUACUCCAGCCUGUCCCCGCUCUAUAUAUAUUAGUGCCUAUAAUUAAAGAUGAUUAAUAAUUAUUAUUUGAUAUUUUGUAUUAUAAGAACUGAAGUAUGACAAUUUUAAUAUAUGAUAUUAAACAGAAAAAUCAUAAGUUAUGUAUUGAGUUAAAAAAAUAUAUUAAUAUGUAAUGAAGCAGAAUUAUAAGAUAUGAUCAACUACUUUGCACCUAACCUAAUAAAAUAAAAGACCUGCUUAUAUCUGCUUAUGUACUUUAUGGAUAUUAAAAUUUAUUGUUUAGUUUGAAUUUGAUCUUAAUAUAAAAGCAGUCCAUCACAUUAUCUUGUCAUAUAAAUGAGAUUUAAACAAUUAGCAUAUUUGAAGAAAAUUAUUGCUAGUAGAAUUUUGGUUCUUGCAAGCCAAAUUCUUGAAUUUAUAUUGAUUCCAAUAACAUAUCAUCAUGAGACCUCCACAUGCACCAAUCAAUCAAUUAUGAUUUAUUGUAUAAUUUAGAACAUAUAGUAAAGCAUCUCCUUCUCGAUAGGGAUUAUAAUCACUAAACAUCAGUUUUUGAUCCAAUUGCAAAAAAUACAACAACUAACAUGCUAAUUUAGAGGAAUAACCACAUCAAAUAAAGUACUAAAACAUCUUAGACCACUCAAUUCAAAAAAAUAAUUAAAAGUAAUAAAGUGCAUACUUUAGAUUUGCAGCCAAAUAGUUCUAAGUAGAUAGUUAAACCUAUUGGCAAAUCAAAUGAAAUGAAAAAUUUGCCUAAAUGGAAUCAUCAAUAAAAUAACAAACAAUUGAAAAUUGUCAUAACUAAUAGUUAAAACAACAAAAGUAGAUGCAAUCUGCAUAUGGAAAAAAUUUAAGAUGAUAAACUUACUUUAAACCACAAAUAAUAAUUAACAAAUGUGAUCUCCUCCCUAUCAUAUCUAUCUAACAUGGACAAUUGAAUUAAAACAUUAAAAAAUUAUCGCACAUUCAACCAUCAAGAUUACAGAUUUUUUACAACCAACAAGUAGAUUGGUUAAAGAAAACAUACCUAUUAAGAUUUCUUACAACCAAAAAGUAGAUUGGCUAAAGAAAAUACACCUAUUGAGAAAGGUGUUGCAAAAUGGGGAAGAGGAGUAGCUAAUGUAGCAACAUCCGAAUUUGAUAGGCUCCAUGAUUGUGGUUGAAAGAAGUUAUAAGUAAAUGAAAUAAAUUUGAACAGAUGGGGUAACGGCCAAUAAAGCAAACUUCUCUAUAUAUCAUAAGUUUGUAAAUAACUGAUGAGAAAUGCUUUAACAAACUAAUAGACUUGGAUGUUAAUACAAUUAAAUGAUUAGAAGGGUUUUUAUGUAAUUUCACUAAAACACAAGUUGAAUUUAGUUAUACCUAGUGUUCAAUCGAAUAUCUGUCACCCCUAGCUUUAAAUGUCUAAAAGGACAUCUAAGUAAUUACAACAAAACUAAAUUAGCUAAAAUGACUUAUAUUCAAUACUCCAAUUGCACUUCAAAUACUUUUAUAUUCCCAAAAUAGCCCUACCUUUUCGGUUGAAAUCCAAAGAACAUCUUUACUCUAAACGCAUUCUUAUAUAGUAUAAGGACACAUGCAUAUGUAGAGCUGUUAAACUUCACGAGUAGAUCGAAAGCUCGUUAGAGCUCGGCUCAAUAAGCUUCGAGUUCGCCUCAUUAGUUGCGGUAAACUAGCCGAGCUCGAGCUAAAAAUGUAUUCUACUUGUUUGAUAUCCGAAUAGCUCGUUAAUAAAGGACAUAUUUGUUAUUUUAGAAGUCAAAAGUAUAAAAAUUGAAAAUUAUAGAUUUUAUUGAAAUUAGUUUGUACGAGCUCGAGCUCGUACAAGCUCCAAGUCGAGUUCGAACUCGAGCUCAAGCCACAUAUACAUUUGAUGAGUCGAGUUCGAAGACAUUUUAAAUCUCGUUUGCCUAAUGAGCUCGAGUCGAGCUCUACUCGAAUUACACUCGAGUUGAGCUCGGCAGCCAAAUAGCCGGCUCGACUCGACUCGAUUAACAGCUCUACGCACAUGUAUAUUUUGCAUGGCUGGUCAUUGUAGUUUGCUUUCUAUGCCAAAUUUGAUUUUGUAAUCAUCUUAGGUACUACUGCUUGUGGAUAUUAAUUGAUUGUCAAGUCCAGUGAUAUUCUCCACUUUCCAAGAAAAAUAAAUAAAUAUAUUAAUCUUUGCUCUUGUCUACCAUAUUACCCAUGGUACAUAAUACUUUUGGAUAUGCCAAAAGGUUGCCAUUGGAUCAAGAUUUUGUGCCGGCAGGGGAGCGGGGCGGGGUGAGACGUUGGGUGAGGAAAGAUAUUUGGCAACGAGGUGAAGGACGGACGACAAGGUGUGCCUGUUGUCAUUUUUUAACUUGUAUUACAAACAUAUUUUUAAUAUAUUUUUUUAAUUUUUUAAAUUAUGCUUUUAUCUCACAUACAUUGCAUUGCAAAAAUUGUUAUAGUAAUUAUUUUAAAUAAUCUCUCAUCUUUUUUUGUAAUUUUAAAAUCAGCUCAAUUAAUUUUAUAUUGCUGUAGUUCAUACUUGACUCACAAAAGAAGUCGAGCCAAAUUCGAGCAGGCCCAAACUCAUGUUAGGUAUUUUUUAAGUUAACACAAUCUAGUUAAACGAAACAACCAACUAAUCCAUAAACGUUCUAUAACAUCUAAAUAAAGUUGCAAUAUCAAUAAAAAUUUGAAUUUCAUGACCAAAUUUAAUAUAGUUUACUAUAACAUCCAUAAACUUAGUAACUAGAGAUUAAAAAGAAUAAAUUAUCAUAAAAUUAACCAUCUAGAAUUCAAUCAUUUAACAAGAUUUUGUUAAAAAAUCUUCUUAAUUCCUACAUAACCUGUAAAAUUCUAGAAAAUGAAGGAUGAUGUUUUCUUCUUGUUAAGAUUGGAGAUUAUUAAGUAACUAGGAUUGAGUAAAUAGUGAAGAAAGUGUGGAGAAAGAUAGAAUAAUGGAUCUUUGAUACCGCAUAGACAACAUUGUUGCAAAGGGAGAAAUGACAAGCUAUAUGUUAAAUGGUUUAUCUAACGGGUGUCUAUAGGAUACUCGUUAAAAUAUAUUUCAGAUGUUAUAUUUUUUGAAAUAUAAAAUUAAUUAGAAAAAAGUAAAUAAAUAUAAUGGAGGGUAAGUAAGAUUAAAUAGGAAAAAUAUAUAAAUGUAAGAGAGAAUAAUAAUGGUUAGUAUGCGUAUUUAUAUGAUAAGUUAUGUGCGUUAACAAUGUGCAAAGAGUACCUGCCAGAUGUUACAAAGCCAUUAUUCGAUAGAGAGUUAAGUGGAUUUAGUGUAACCCAAGCUUUAACUCCCGUCCAAAUCAGCUCAACUCACCCAGCACAAAGGCACGUUCCAAUAAAUUACGGCAGAAUGAGCUGAGCUUGGGGCCAGCGCAGCCCGACUGGGGAUGUACUGACGGCUAAAACAAUGGGUUGUACUGAAGGAAUGCCCAACCCAAGCAUCCGAUUGCGCUAAUUUAUCACCAAAUCGAGUUUAAAUGGAGGAAAAUUUUUCGAAAACAAUGGAUUUGAUUUAUGGCAAACUGAGAAGAUUAUGGAGAAUGGUGAAGAAUAAUUAGGUCCCUUUUGGAUUGUUCUUGUUUUAGCCAUCAUCUUUUUUUAUCUGUCAAAAUUACCCCUCACUUCAUGAAUUGGAGUCUACAAUAUAUGCUUCAUCAAUGUAUUUCUUGAAAUUUUGAGAUCCAAUCUGAUUGCAAGGGAGUUGUGGAAAGUAUCAAGGCAGGAUGCAGGGGGGACCCGAAUGUGGGAACCAUAGUAACAGAUAUUCUUAGGCUGAGGGAUACGUUUCAGCAGUGUUACUUUUCCUUUGUUAAAAGGGAAGGGAAUUGUGUAAGUCAUAAUCUGGCAAAAUUUGCCAUGCAAAUGACUAAUGAUAUAGAGUGGGAAGAUUCUUUCCCAGUUUGGCUAGUAAACUUAGCCAAGAAAGAUGUAAGAGCAGUUGCUCAUCUAGUGUAAUCUUUGACUAUUAAUGAAAGAUGUUAUCGUUUGAAAAAAAAAAAAAAAAAAUCCCAUAUCAAGGAUUCUUUUUUUUCCAUGUUUUAAUUUUUUUUUUCUUUCUCUGAGACUUUCGUUAUUUCCUUCUCUAGACCAUCACAGCGUCACGAAUCAAUUUGCACAAAUGUUAAAUCAAUUCAUUUUUCAGUUCGUGCCAAGUAGAUGACGACGUUUCUUUAUUCCCCUCUCUAAUUCACACGACGUUUCUUCAACUUCGUAGGUCGCAGCUGACCGAACUUAAAAGGGUUCAAGGAGCCUUGAAUACGAGGCGAUUAGGGCUAUGUUCCAUUAUAGUUUUGAGUUUACGGUGGCAUGCAAGAAUUAGUAAUUACACGAAACUGCUCUCACUCGCCUGUUAGUAUCCGUUUUCAAAAAAAAUGGAAUUGUUAUACGGAUGAUUUGAACGCUACUGUCUGUUAUGAUUAGACUGGAAAGGACGGCAAAAAUGGUCCACGAACUGCCUUAUCUUUUAUUUUUUUGGGGGUCCAAAUUAUCUUUUAUUGUUUGGUUUGAUGCGACAAUAUCAAAUAUACUUGGAUUGUUCAUGUUAAUACAGCUGCCCGUUAUCAUAAAGUUCUUGGAAGAAAUUCAUGCCCAAUAUACUUUAGUUGCUUGUAUAUGAACUGAAAGUCAACAAAAGGUUUCUGAAUUCUGUACAAUUGCCGUGGCCCAGAACUCACGUGAUGAUUUCAAGUCGCAAAUCUUAAAAACAGGCUGUCUUCUAAUCUAGUAAUAGCAGAUAACAACACAGACAAUAGUAGUGGUGGCAGUAUGCCUAAAUCACCUUGGACUCGGGGCAGGGACGGUUGCACCUGCAACCGUCCCUGACAAAUUUCCUCUUCAUCAACAGCGCGUAACUUCUUUUGUUCACCGUGUAACUUUUUUUCUACAGGUUGUAUUUUCACAACAGAUAGUGAUGGACCCCACACUUAGCGCGAAAAUCAAGUUACCACUUAUUAUCUGAGCCGCACAUUUUUUUGAGGUCCAAUCUGGACCAUGAACCGUGCAGGGACGGUCGUCCCUGCCCCAAAUCCAAAUGACCUUUGUUCCCAACUAACUGUUUAGAUGCCACGGGAAUAAUGGUAAGAGUCCUCCGCUUGAUUGAUUGAUUAAUUUUGGUGCUGCACUGGAAGCUGGCCAGUCCCUUUUCCGACUCAUUUUUCUUCAAAGUGGGUGUGGACCAGAUACAAAAUUACUGCAAAAGAGACAUGGCAGUGUGUUGAUUUGGGGAUGAAGUACGGCGCAAGUCUUUUGCUGAAAGCUAAAGGUUAAAUAAUUCGUGUAGCCAAGGUUGGUGGUCUCUGAAAAGCUUCAUGUGUGCCUGAAUAAUAGACAAAGGAAGUGGAAGCCUCAACUGAAUUUCACUCCACAGCUUCACCAAGAAAUCAACAAAUUACUCGAAUAUUCUCUACUGCUUCUGGACCGCCCGGUCAUUUACCUCCUGAGCCGAGGUCGACCCGCCGGCUUAUUCCAAAAAAUUGGUAGGCUGAAUUGACUGUUUACCACCCAUUUCCGGCGCUUCUCUCGAUUUUAAUCUUUUUUUUUUUUUUUAAUUUUGUUUGGCCUUUCUUCGAUUUCAAAUUAAUAUUGGUAUUGCUUGACCUCUAGGGAAUUCUUGUUUACAUUAAUUAAUAGAGUGUAUUUUAGUACAAACUUACGACCUUCUUCUAUUGACGCCCUCCAAAAAAAAAAAAAAAAAAAAUGUUUCCAUUCGCACGAGUCUAUCUACUUCUGUUGAAGGAUUGACUCAUGUCUAGACAUAUUAAUAGGUCGGAUAUUACUCAGAUCCAAUCCAAACUCAAUAUAUUUGGAUAGGAGCGAACACCCUCCAAAGAAACAAAAAAUCUUCCAUUGUAGUGAAAUGUUUAAUAAAAGCAGUUAAGAUGCUUAAAAAGGAAUAAAAGCAAUUAAGAAACAUGAAUAUUGGGUCUGACAGAUUUUUAGGCCCCCAAAAAAAGUUAUAAGUUAUUUGAUGAAACCCUAAUUGAAUCAAAAGGUCAAUUAAUUUAAUGACAAGAUAUAUAAAUAAAUCUAUGACUGCUUUAAUCGGUUAAACACUAGUGCAACUGCCAAUGGGGCCCAAGUGAAUAAUGGGGAGCCCAUAUCUUGCUUCUGUCCUUCACUAAGACAAUUGAGCUAGGUGUUGGGCCAAACAAAAUGACAAGCAUAAUUGGGCUAGGUGUUCAAGAUCUAAAUGUUAGUCCAUUCAAUAUACGUAUUUAUUUAAACAAAAAAAAGAAAAAAGAAAAAGAAAAGAAGAAGAGGAAGAAGAAGGCGAUCGGGCAUUUGCGGGGAAGGAAAAAAAUUUAGAGAAAGAUGGAAGCAGGUAAAGCAGCUGGUACCGAUUCCGGGGAAGAGAGUAGGAUGAUCAAAGUUAAUGUGAAGUUCGGUGGACGGUCUAUACCGGUGGAAAUUCCGUUGGACUCCACCGUCAGAGACCUCAAGUCUAUCCUUCAACCCCUCACUAAUGUCCUCCCUCGUGGCCAAAAGUUCAUCUUCAAAGGUGUAAAUUUGUUAUUGGACGUUUUAGACAAAUAAUCCGAUGCCUUUAAUUCUUGAAGAAGUGUAAUCGAGUCAAUUCUUGAACUUUUUUUUUUUUUUAGGCCGUGUAUUAUGAUUUGCAGGGAAAGUUUUGGUGGAUGAAAUGACAAUGAGGUCAUCGGAAAUUAUCAAUGGUUCUAAAAUCAUGCUCAUGGCUACUCAAGGUCUACACCAAGGGGUAUCUUUUGUCGAUCACUAUGCUUUAUUAUUCCAUUUUAGCUAUGUUUUGUCGAUUGUCUCUGCUAAUUUUGAAAGAGCUGAUUCUAAUGAUUAUGAUGUAAAUGUAUAGGAUGGCCCCAUUAAGCAGGAAGCUCCGGCUAUAGAGAAGAAUUUGAGGAGGAGAACAAGUGAACUGCUGAAGGCAAACAAAGAAGUUUCUGUUCCAAAAAGCCAGCUCGAAAGAUGGAAAGCUACUGGGGUUAUUGCACUGUCUGAGUGCAAUCUGAAGGUGUUGAGGAACAGUCUUUCUUCUUGUUGAAUUAAGCUAGCACUACUGCUCCUGCUACUCUUGCUUUUCUUGAUGUUUGUGUACUUAAAAUGAUUCGUGUUCCUUGAUGUUUGUGUCCUAUUUUCAAGAAUAGUAAGUAAAUUAGUGAUCCUUCCAAAUCUUUUGGGAUUUAUGUCGGUUCUGUCUGAUUUUCUACUUGAUUGUAUUCAGUUAGAGUGCACGAGUUUGUUGUUUUUUCCUCUGUAAGUACUGAGCUAAAUCAGUAGACCUUGUCCUAAUACUGAAGUGGAAAAACACGAUAACUGAUGAGUAAAUUAAAUUGUACCCUCUUCGCUGUUUGCUUAGUUUUCAGAGGUAUCUAAUGUAGCUAUUCCAGCGUGCUGCUUAUUAUGGUGGAUGCAUAGUGAUUUGUUCCGAGUUAGCAUUCUCACACUUAUAGUGGAUGCAUAGUGAUUUGUUCCGAGUUAGCAUUCUCACACUUAUAGUUCAUGGAUUAUCUUAUUAUUAGUAUUUUUUUAAAUAAUCUGCUAUAUGGUUCUGUGAGCUCUGCAUCUCUGAAUCUUUAGUUUGUUUGGUUGAGAGCAUGAUUAAUAUAUUUUUGGUGACUGAAAGGCCAUACCUGAGGAAGUCUGGAUGUGUGGACCUUCCGCUAGACUCCUUGAUCUCAGCCACAACUCGCUACUACAACUUCCAGAUAAAAUUGCCUGUUUGAGCUCCAUGCAGGUUAGACAAAACUCUUUCAGUGGUUGCUCUUUACUAGUUAUGUGAGGAACUUCUCCUCAAUAUGGUUCUGAUUUUGCUUUUAUCUUCAUCUAAUUCUGCAGAAACUGCUCCUUAAUGCCAAUGAUUUAUCAGAUAAAUUAAUUAGCUGGGAAGGGUUAACCUCACUGAAGUCUCUUACCAUUCUGUCGUUGAAUCAAAACUGGUACUGCAACUGACUUUUGUUGCGAGAAAUUGGGUGGAUUUCAUUCACUUUAUAUGCUGGUUUACCUAUACUCUAAUAGUAUGUGACAAGUAACUUGCAUUGGUGGUGAACAUUCUUUGGAUCUUUUAGUGCACUGUCAUAGUAUCUACUUGUAAAAUUUCAGUGUUGCAAGGCUUUUAAGCUGGUAGUGUCAGAUCUCAGAGUGCUUGCUUCUCCUGAAGCCUGACCAAAUGCACUCCCCCUUCUCCAAAAAAAGGGGGCAAAAAAAAGCAAAGGGACAAUGCUUUCGCUGGUUUCUAUUUUGGUCUUUGCAAUCUGUUGUUUAAGUGCUAUCUAGUACUGAUUUAGUAACCAGUAAAUGCUAUAUAAGACAAAUUUACUACUGUGCUGGAAGUUGUCCCUCAUGCACUGGUGAUAUCUUUUUAUGAUGAUAAUUUCACUAGCCAUACAGAAAUUGACUUGUAGUGCAGAGUGUUUGUUUUCUGUAAAAUCCAAUAUGAAAGAAUCUAUUUUUGGUCUAUUAAUGUCCUCCAAGUAUUGCGUAAGUUUCAUUUAUCAUUGCUAGAGUACUUACGUAUGUCAUUGUGGUUGUGCUUGUGUUACUUUUUUCUUUUUCUUUCCAUUCUGUUUUCCUCUUGGUUAGACAUGCAUGUGUGCUCUAGUUGGGCAUUGAUAUUAUUAUGUGAGUGAGUGCAGCAUUAUAACAUUACAGGCUUUGGUUUAUUUUCAAUGUUGUUGUACUGCAACUGCGAGCCUCGAUUAUGUAGUUGCAUCAAUCCAGUUCAUUGUAUUCACUUAUUUUCUUUUGUUUCUUAUGUAAUAUGAUCAGUUUAGCAGUGCUGCCUUCUGCCAUCGGGGCUUUGACGUCUUUGAGGCAACUUCUUGUUGAAAAUAACAAGUUGACAUGUCUCCCAACUGAAAUAGGCCUUCUAACAAAUCUUCAAAUCCUGAAAGCAGCGAACAAUCGGUAAAGUGUGAAAUAAUUUACUUGUGAAAUAUCUGAAUUUUAUUCUUUUACUCGAGCAAUUUAACUCGUAGAGAAAUUUAUGGAGAUAAUUGUUUUUUCUUUCCUUCCAUAGUUUUUGGUUUUGUUGUUUCAUGUUUUCUUUACAUGAUUACGAAUGUCAUAUCCUGAGCUUAGAUGGUUGACUCUGACACUUCAUUUGCUUUUUUCCCAUAUUGGAAGAAGUAGACAGGAUUAGUUCCAAAAGAAAGCGUAAAUAUACCACUCAGUACUAUGAAUUCUAAAGAACAUAUUUAAUGCUAAAUGCAGGAUAAACGAUAUUCCUGCAAGCAUAGGGGAAUGCAUUUCUCUUGUUGAGGUAAAAGUCUGCUUCGUCUCUACCAGUUUUUUCUCAUUUUUCCUAUCUUUAUUUUUUAUUUUCUAUAUAUAUUCUGUAAAGCCAUUUGCCAAACCCAAAUAACAAAGAAGUAUGGAGAGAGAGGGAGAGAGAUGCAAAGUUUUUGUCUCUUACUGAUCAGGCAGUCAAGCUUUUCAUGUUUCCUAUGUUUGCUUUUCACAGUUCCCUAUCUCGGAAUCUCGUUGUUUGUUGUUCUGCAGGUUGAUCUCUCAUCAAAUCUCCUGGUAGAAUUACCAGAGACAUUUGGGAAUUUAAAAGAUUUGAAGGUCUAUCUGCUAGCCUUUUUUAUCUUGGAAUUUCUUUAUUCUCAGAUCCCUCUUUAUUUCAAAUUGGAAGUAAAAGUAAAAUACGGAAGUACUAACAUCUGGCCUUAAUAUGCGAAAAAGAGGGCAAGUAAUGCAAUUUAUGUUAUACCAAAAAUGAAUUUGAUCUUUUUCAAGUAUAUGAAUUUGGGAUUUGCCCUUGUUCAGUGAAGCUUGUAGACGCUUUUAGAACUUCCAGAUGUAUCGGUAGAUUGCCUUACUAUAAAAGAUGUACAAUGUUUCUUAAAUUACCGCGAUAGUGACACUCUAGAUUUGCUCCCAUCUUAUUCUGUGUUGCAGGCUUUGUAUACAAGUAAUAAUGGACUGAGAUCCCUCCCCAGUACCCUAUUUAAAAUGUGUAGCCAACUUUCGAUUCUGGAUCUGCAUGGGACAGAAGUAACAAUGGAUGUUCUUCGCCAGGUUCUUUUUCUUCUCCAAAUCAUAUGUGAUUCAGAUCCCCUCACUGUAUUCAAAUUUAUGUAUGAAUCCAUUUUGUUUCUUACAGUUUGAAGGAUGGGAUGAUUUUGAUAAUCGCCGCCGCUUGAAACAUCAGAAGCAGCUGGAUUUCCGAGUUGCUGGGUCAGCUGAAUUUGAUGAAGGUGCUGACAAGCGCUACUGAGCUGCUAGUUGAGACACUUGCCGGUUGGAGACCUACACAACAGUAACGUAGGAAAGUCAUAGUCUGUCCAUUCAAAGUUCUCAGCUGCCAACGGAUUUUGUUGUCUGAUGGUUCCAAGGCUGAGAGUAUGCAUAUAUACAAUCACAAUUGAACGCAUGAUUAAUAUCUACAAAAUGGAACUACUAGUGAGUAAUAUCAACAACCAUAUUUAAAGUAGUAUUAUCUGAUUCCUGCACUUUUCCUAUUGGGGUAACAACCUUAAUUGCGUGAGAGGCCCCCGCCCAACCUUGCAUUUGCCUGCCGUGUCCAAAUAAAAGAACGAAAUUUGAGUUAAACCAAAUAAAAGAACGAAAAAAAAAAGCAGCUUUUUUCGUGUUUUGUUUUUGUCUGUACUCUGUUUCACCAUCUUCUGUGUGGAUUGCUUUUUUGAACACAUAUUUAUCAAUCAACAGCGUAGUGAGAGAUUGCAAACUUGUUACCAUUCGCUGAAACUUUUACACGCUUUUCAUUACCCACAAUGUUUUGUCGCCUGCAGAGUACCAUGGAGAAAUAAUUGAAGCACAGUAAUGUUUCAAUGUCACUUCGCUUAUAGAAAUCCAAAUGGUAAAGAAAGUAGCUUGCAGAAACACACGUAGGAAGGCGAGAUGAAACAAAGAAGCUCUUUUGAGAUGCAAAUAGGCAGACCACAGCCAUAAAGGACAUUCUCAAGGUCUCUGAAUGAAUAAAAUUUUCUCUUCGUUAUAACCAAGGCGACGUCCAGAGAUGGUCUUUUUCUUUCUUUCUUUCAUUUUUUUGAAGUCUGGCCAUACCUUUCACAAAGCCAUGCAAAAUUAUACCAAUUAUUUUCGAAUAUUUAUUUUGGAAUUUCCUGAACUAAUAAAAGAAGUUUGUGAAGAAAUACGCCGUCCAUCCCAUUUUGAUAGUCUUAAUUUUUUUCGCAACUAUGUAAAGUUAUACCAAUUAUUUUUGAAAUUUCCUGAACUAAUAAAAGAAGUUUACUAAGUAAUACUCCCUCUAUCCUACUUUAACAAUCUUGGUUUUUUUCUAGAACAAUUUUAAAAAAUUAGCUAACUUUGUUGAAAAAGUAAAUAUAGCCUAAUGUUUUUCUAAAAUACCCUUACAUUAAUAUAUGAAGUGUCACUAAUCACUACACAUUUACAUUAAUUAUAAUACCAUUCAAGACAUAUAUCAAAACAAUUAUUGGUGGAAAAGUUGACUGUAUUAAAUAAAGUAGGUUAUAUUUACUAAUAACGAAAUAUAUUAAAUAAUGGUAUUUCAGAGAAAUUAAAAGUUAACUAUAUUAUUCAAUUGGCAGGUGAACUAUAAUUUGAGAUGGAUGAAAAAGGAAAACAAGAUUAUCAAGUAGGACUAAGGGAGUAAUCAACUUAUGUAGGUGGAAGGAAGUAUCAUCUUGAAAUUUCAGUUAUUGAAGGAUUCUCUUGUAAUUUGCAAAUUCUGCUUUUGUUUUAACAAAAAAUUGAAGUUCUCUUACCAAUUUUUUAGCAUAUAUUUUUAAUAAAAGAUGGAAAGAUAGAAACUUCUUACGAUGGAAAGAUAAUUGAAGUCUAAAUUAUUAUUAUCUCACCUCCUACUCAUUCUGCGAUAGCUCAUUUAAAUUCUCUCAUGGGAUUAAUUUAUCCCUCAUAUGGGGAAUUAAUUCGGUUAGGAGUGAUGUAAUAAUCUUAUAUAUAAAAAGCAACCAAAAUGGGAUGAUAUGGGAUUAAUAUUUCAAUCUUGUAUCAUCUCAUGAACUAAACAAAUUCUAAAGCACGAAUAUACUUUCGGCUACCUAAUGUAUAGAGGCACUUGUGUAGUAACUAUAAUUUUCCUCAUGUUUACCAUAAAGAAAAUUAGGAAGUUUGUCUUAACAAUAGAGACAUAUUUUGAAUUAUAAAAUAAACAUGUGAUAGUAUAUUUUAAAUAAUUAUCAUGUAAUUUGAAUCUCAAAAUCUUAGAAGGAACCUAACAGUUUGAGGAGUGAAAGUGUCUGAACAAUACAUCCACUGUCUAUUUACUAAUUCUCUAUUAUACUCACUCACUCUUAUAAAAGUUAAGAAAAUAUCCAUCCCUAUGAUCUCUGUUUUCGUAGUGUAUUCUUUCUUUUCAACUUGAAUGGUCAUUAGUCUGCCGUCUGCCAGGCGUGACGAGGAACCAGCGUUAUUAAGAUAGUAAGGCAAACUUCAAUGCAUCAAUUAAUUUAUACAAACCAACAGCCCUUUGGAUGAUUGGCCACUCCCAUAGAUUUUUAAGUCUCGGUGGGAUGAGAGGUCAAAGAUUCAAACAUUACUUUUCAUUAAUGUGUCAUUAUACGUGAUUUCUUCUAAGACGGUCGGCCCAAUGUAGACUAGAGUAGGAAUAAAAAUAGGCCAGACUAACUGAUGCCGUCUGAUUAAAAAAAAAAAAAAAAAACUUGUUUACACCUAAGCUGUUUCAUUGAGCACAUAUGAAGUUGGAUAAAGAAUUCACCAAUACCUUGGUCAAAUACAAGGAUGACAAUGGAGGCGGAUGACCGUGGGCAACCGCCCCGCGGGGCGCUAAUGGGGCGGGGGCGGGUGGAAUUCCUCCCCUCUCGCUUAGAAACGGGGUGGGGGGCAGGGGAGUGCACAGCCGCUCCAUCCCCCGCUCCGCCACCCGCUUUAAAAAAAUAAAUAUAUAAAAUAUAUAUGUAUGUAAUUAUAUAUAUAAUAUAUAAUUUAAUUAGUUACAAACUUAUGAUAAUGAUAUUAUUAGUUAUAUGUAUUAUAUGAUGUUUAUUAGAAUAUAUAAUAUAAUUGAUUAUUAAUUAUACUAAUAAUUAUAUAUGUGUACUAAUACAAAUUAUUAAUUGAUUAUACUACAUUUACAAAUACAUUUAUACUAAAUCCUUAAUUACACUUAAUACAAUAACAUUUUUUUCUUAAAAAAAGCACAAGCACAAUAACGAAUUAGUGAUUGUAUUCUGCCCAAUUAGCGAUGCCUUCUGCGUCGUUUGCGUUGAGUGGUGUGUGUGCGGUUUCUCUAACAUUUGUGAAAGAAAAAAACUUCUUGGACACAAUGCGCGUCACUGUUUUUCAUGAUUCAACCUAUUAGAUGCAUCUAACUACAACUGAUUCGAUUAUCGGCUAAAUACCUGCAUGUAACAAAAAAAAACACAAUCAAACAAUCCCGCACAAUAGACGAGCAUAAUCAAGAACGACAACAAAAGGGUGCGCAGCUCAAGUGUCCCAGCUGUAACAUCUCAUUCUGUAUUUUAUGCAUGAAAGUUGGAAAAUACUUGUACAUGCAGCUGACUGAUUCAUCAGUAGACAGGAAUUACAUUUGCUUAAAACAAGUAGUCCUAACGAAAGUAAAUGGAUAUGAGAGGGAUGUCAAUGUCAUUAUCUUCAUCAUCCUCGCAAGCUACUACAACAUCCAAGUGACGCGAUAUGCUGGAAUCUCCACCUUGGCCACCUC